GCAAACUUGGUCAUUUAGAGGAAGUAAAAGUCGUAACAAGGUUUCCGUAGGUGAACCUGCGGAAGGAUCAUUACCGAGUUUUUGAAAAUCUUUUUGAUUUUCAACUCUCACCCUUUGUUUAUUCAGAACUUUUUUGCCUCGUCAAGUUUUUUGUGAAUAUUUUUUCAUAAAGGGGAAACCCACUUGACGAAAGGCAUUUUUUAAAUUCUUUAAAAAAAGAUUUUCUGAAAAAAAAUUAAAUAAAUCAAAACUUUCAACAACGGAUCUCUUGGUUCUGGUGUCGAUGAAGAACGCAGC
rnacentral:misc_RNA from 1 species